AGGAGCGGGAUGGACAUACCUCUGGUGUACCAGUUGUAGUGCCAACGGCAUAGCGGGGUAGCUAUGUAUGGACGGGAUAAGUGCUGAAAGCAUCUAAGCAUGAAGCCCCCCUCGAGAUGAGAUUUCCCAACUUCGGUUAUAAGAUCCCUCAAAGAUGAUGAGGUGAAUAGGUUCGAGGUGGAAGCGUAGCGAUACGUGGAGCUGACGAAUACUAAUCGAUCGAAGACUUAAUCAACAU
rnacentral:rRNA from 1 species